rnacentral:other from 1 species
GGGUUUCUGUUCUUCUCGUGAGGGCCAUUUUUUCCACUGGCCUAUAAUUUUUCCGAGGGGGCUGGCUCUGGCAUGACCCUGGUCUUGCUACCCGGCGCCCACCUGGUUCUCCAGGCUUUCGGGAAAUUCUGUGCCCUCACGGAUGCAACGGUUCCCGC